UACCUGUCAUCCUUUCUGGGUCAAUAAAAGAAAUACCAGUCAUGUUUUGGGGUUUGAUGUAAUCGACUAGACACUGCCCCCCAAAAUUUUAGGCUUUGUACCUAUAUUAAAAAGGAUUAUCAUAAUUGAGAGUGUGUGGUCUGGCAGGUUUACACUCUAUUAACAGAAAUGCCACAAAGAUGAAGCUUUUCUUUCACACUUCUUUUUUCUAUCAUCCUCUUUUCCUGUCAUUUACAUUCUCAGAUUAAUAAAAUACCUGUAUUGUCUUAGGAAGUACAGGAGCAGGGUGUGCUGAAAAUAUCAUUCUCCAAUUAAAUAUGUGCCUAAUUCCAAAGAAAUUAACAUUAUUUUUCACAGUAGGGAUAGUAGUAAGAAUACUUUGCGACAUGUGAAGGGUUAAUAAAGAAAAUAUUAUUAUUAUCAUUAUUAUUAUUAUUAUUGUUGUUGUUGUUGUUGUUGAACUGGCAGAAUCAUCAGCACACUGGGCAAAAAAUGCUUAACGGCAUUUCGUUUGUCUUCAAGUUCUGAGUUCAAAUUUGGCUAAGGUCAACUUUCAUUAUUUCGCAGUCGAUAAAAUAAGUACCAGUGGUGUACUGGGUCCGAUGUAAUUGACAUAACUCCUCCCACCAAAUUUCAGGCCUUGUGCCUAUAGCAGAAAGGAUUAUUAUUAUUAUUAAGAUGGUGAUUAUUAUUAUUAUUAUUAUUAUUAUUAUUAUUAUUGUUGUUGUUAUUAUUAGCACACUAAACAAAAUGCUUUGUGGUAUUUCUUUUAGCUUGAUGUUCUGACUUCAGAUUCAGUCAAGGUAAAUUUUACCUUUUACCCUCUCAUGUUCAAUAGAAUCGACUAGUGCCCCCCACUCAAAAAAAAAAAGAAAAAA